GUGCCAGCAGCCGCGGUAAUACGGAGGGUGCGAGCGUUAAUCGGAAUUACUGGGCGUAAAGCGCGCGUAGGCGGUUUUGUAAGUCGAAUGUGAAAGCCCCGGGCUUAACCUGGGAAUUGCGUUCGAUACUGCAUAGCUAGAGUACGGUAGAGGGAAGUGGAAUUCCGGGUGUAGCGGUGAAAUGCGUAGAUAUCCGGAGGAACACCAGUGGCGAAGGCGACUUCCUGGGCCAGUACUGACGCUGAGGUGCGAAAGCGUGGGGAGCAAACAGGAUUAGAAACCCCCGUAGUCC
rnacentral:rRNA from 1 species